CCCCUAGCUCUAGCUAAAUGUUUAGAAAUACAUAGUGAAAUGUUACAAAGAAAAUGAAGGAAACUAGAAUAUAAUGGAGAGGAUUUGAUUCUUCAAAAUCGUGGCCAAGGUCCCCUUUUAUAGGCAAAGGAACAUCCAUAAUUCAAGUAGGCAAUACAACUUGUUUCUGUCCAGCUUCAAGACAGCUGGAACAUGCAACUUAAUGCCAAUUUUCAGAUAUAUUGUACAGCGAAUUUGGACUUAUGAUCAACAGAUAAAUUAUUUCCACCUGAGUUAGAUUUCCAUUGGUUUAAAUAUCAGGUUCAUUGGAUCUAUAUAACUCCAGAUAUGACAAAAACAAUAAGUGCUGCUUCACAGGUAAAGCUGUAUCCGGCAGGUAACAAGCUGGACUUUUCACGGUAAUUUUGGCUACUUUGUGAUACGAAUUUGACUUCUUCCAAAACAUGAAAGUUGUAGAAACGUGCCUUGUCUUUCCAACCCAACUUGAAUCACCUCGAUCCAAUGUCUGAAGCUCAAAUUAUGAUCAUUUUACAGAUAGCUGCUUCUUGCUUGAGGCAGUCACUAUUUUUGACUUUUCAACAUUAUUUUCCUCCACUUGCUCCACUUGUUCUAAUUUGGAAAUACAAGUGAAAUACAUCAAAUAGAUACUCUUUCAAAUGUAUAAUACUCAUGCCACCAUGUAUGUAAAUACGUAUUUCAAUUAAUUGCAUUUUUAACCAUGUAUUUAUGGAAUGCAUAAUCAAUUCAAUCACAUACUUUUUUAAAUUGGACUCAUCCCGACCCUCAAUGGUCAAUUAUUUCGCUCUUCGCUCGUUGGAUGCACACCCUCAAACUUGAUUUUCUAACUAUUUUCCCAAGGUGUGAUUUAUACUAUUACUCACCCUCUCUAGUUUGGUUAGAUUUUACUAAUUGUAGCUCAACACAUCAAUAAAUGAGGAUUCUCCUUAAUUUUGACUGACUUAACCUCCAAGAAUCAACUAAGUUACUAAUCCCUUAUCAAAGGUCUAAUUCUCUAAAAUAAGUGUUUGGGACUUAAUCAAGGCAUGUAGUGCGUCUUCUGUUUCAUGAACCUGCUUUUUUUCAAGUUUGCCGUGUGUAUUCUGUUUCAUGCACUAGCCUAUCUCUUUUUAUGUUUAUAAUUGUCCUCAUUGGGCUCUUUUAGGGUAGCUUCACAACAUGGCAGCUUUUUCCCUUCUAUGCAAUGAUUAGUGCAAUGCCCCUCAUUAAACACUUAUUCUCGAAAAUCGAUCUUUAACUUAAGAUUUUUACCUAAUUAUCAUCUCAUUGGUCUUAAGCAAUCCACACAAAAUUUAACACACAUGGAAUCCACAUCUAUCUCAAUGUUUCCCCACAAUAGCUCAACCACCCCAAACUAUCAUAUAAUUGGUUUAGUGGAUUUUUUUUUUUUUUGGGUCAUACUUAAUUCUACAUAUUCUAUCCAUUGAUCCAAUCUAAAUAAUAUGUGAUUUUCAUGAAUAUUGUGCUCAAUGUAGAUCAAUCUAACAUGAACAAGCUUAAACUAAAUCAAAGUAGCAUCCCCUAGUCAUAAUAAUAUAAAAACAAUUUCAAAUAUUAUCAUCGGUCAGUAAGAAAUUUUUUUUUUUUUUUGAACAUUUUGAUUCCUUUCCCCCAACCUAAAUGAAACAUUGUCCUCAAUGUAAAGAUUAAAUGUGCAAAAUAUAUGAAGGACAAUAAGGAGCAAAAUUUUGAACAAAGGGACGAAUUUAGAGCUUUACCUGGAAAGUCUGCAUAAACUUAGCCUAAAUGAUCCUUCAAUUUCAAUAGUGAAAGAAAAAAAAAAAAGAAAAAAAAGAAACAACAAUAAAAGAAACACACCUAAAAAAAACACACAACAUUAUAAAACUGAAAAUAAACAUACAAAAUAAAAUAAAAAGAAAAGGAUAUCAAUCUUUAGAAUCAUGUAUAGCAACAGACUCUUCCAAUUUAGAGAAAUUCUCAAAAAAUGGUUUCAAAUCGAGAUUUGGUUCUUGAACACUUGAAAUCACUUGCGAAUUUUUAGAAUUAUCAUUGAAUUCAAAUUCAAGCGCAUCAUAUGAAGAUGUAGCGAUAAAUUGAUCAUCAACAAGUUGUUCAAUAAGAUCUACUUCAUGCAAAUCAUCUUCAUCUCCAUGUUGCUUGCAAAUGUUAAAAAUAUUCAUUUCCACGGUCAUAUUUCCAAAAGAGAGUUUUAAAAUACCAUUUCUACAAUUUAUCAACGCAUUUGAAGUAGCAAGAAAGGGACGUCCUAGAAUGACAGGUAUUUGUGCAUUCGAAUUUAAAACAGGAUGUGUGUCCAAAACUAUAAAAUCAACAGGAAAAUAGAAUUUAUCAAUUUGAACUAGAACAUCCUCUACAACCCCUCUUGGAACUUUUACUGAACGAUCAGCAAGUUGAAGUGUUGUUGUUGUUGGCUUAAGCUCUCCCAAACCAAGUUGCUCAUACACAGAAAAAGGUAAUAGAUUAACACUAGAACCAAGAUCAAGCAAAGCACGCUCUAUCCUGUUAUUCCCAAUCACACAAGAAAUUGUUGGACAACUAGGAUCUUUGAAUUUAGGUGGAGUGUUUUGUUGAACGAUCGAGCUCACAUUCUCUGUUAAAAAUACUUUUUGUUGAACAUUAAGUUUCCUCUUAACAGUGCACAAGUCUUUUAAAAAUUUUGCAUAUGAAGGUACUUGUUUGAUUGCAUCCAAUAAUGGUAUGUUAAUUUUGACUUGUUUAAAAAGUUCAAAAAUUUCAGAAUUGUGGUUGAGUUUUGAAAUUGGUAGCAAUUGUUGAGGAAAUGGAGCUGGAAUGGGACAUUUUUCAACAAUAGGUUCAGAAAUGAUCUUUUCCUCACUUUUGGAAACAUCAUUUUCUUGCUUUGAAGUACCACCAGAUUUUAGUUCUUUUGAAGGGAUGGUUUUGUCAAUAAUUUUUCCACUACGAAGAGUCGUGAUGGAGUUGGCAUUUUGUUGUUGACUUUCAGAAGAACUAGAAGCAUUUACAUUAUAUUGCUGAGAAGGAUUUGGUUGAGGUUGAGCAGGAAAUUUGCCUUUCUCUUGAGAAUGCAAAGAAGAGGUCAAUGAAGAAAGUGUGUUCUUGAUUUCAUUGAUGGCUUGUGAAGUUUGAUUAUUAAUAUUUGCUUGUCCUUGCAUAAAAGACUGCAAUGUUUCCUCAAGAGUCAUUGAUUGUGGUGGUGGAAAAGAAGGAAAUUUCGAAAGCCCUUGAGGUUGUGAUAAAUGAACACGAUUAUCAUCUCUCCAACUAAAGUUGGGAUGAUUUCUCCAUUGUUGAUUAUAUGUUUCUGAGUAUGGAGAAGAAAAAGGCUUUUUGAAAGUGUUCAUAGCAUUGGCUUGAUCAUAUAAAACUUCUUUGAAAACUGGAAUGUUAGGACAAUCAUGCGUAAGAUGACCAAAAGUUUCACAAAUGCUACAAAUUUCAUCAUUUUGCACGGGUUUAACUUCCUUUACUUUCCUUAAUUCCAUAGCUUCAACCUUUCUAGACAAACUAGCAAUCCUAGCAUUUAGAUCAUCAUCUUGACUCAAUUGAUAUUUUCCUCCACUAGAACUAGCAAGACUAGAUCUAAUUGAGUUUUCGAUUGGUUUUACUGUUUGCCAAGAUUGAGAAUUUUCAGCUAGAUGAUCUAGAAAUUCUAAAGCUUCAUCUGGAUCUUUAUCUAAAAAUUCGCCAUUGCACAUCGUUUCUACAAAUUAUUUUGUUUCAGGAGUUAGGCCCUCAUAAAAGAAACUUAUAGUACGCCAUUUUUCAAAACCAUGAUGUGGGCAUGUAUUUAACAAAUCUUUAAAUCUUUCUAAACAUUGAAAGUACGCUUCAUUGGUUUUUUGAGAAAAAUUUUGGAUUUGUCUUUUCAAAGCAUUAGUUUUAUGUGCUGGAAAGAAUUUCUUCAAAAACUCACUUUGCAUUUCUUGCCAUGUGCCAAUCGACCUAGGUUUUAAAGAGUUAAGCCAAGUUUUUGCUUUAUCUUUUAGAGAAAAAGGAAACAAUUUCAACUUAACAAUUUCGUUGGGACAAGUUUGAUCGUUAAAUGUUGCACAUACUUCCUCAAAUUCUUUAAGAUGCAAAUAUGGACUUUCGGAUUCUAAGCCAUGAAAAUUAGGAAGUAAUGGAAUCAUACCCGGCUUGAAUCGAAAAUUAUUAGCAUUAAGAGGAAAAAUGAAACAUGAAGGAGCAGAAUUUCGAGGAGGUUGCAAGUAAUCACGCAUGGUUCGUACUUGUUGGUUUUCAUUUUCAUCGUGUAUGCUUUCAUUAUCAGCCAUGGUGGAAGAUGUGAGUGAGUGUUGAGAUGAGUCAAAUAAAUUACUAAAGAAAGUUUCACAAUUAUCUUUAACUAAACGANNNNNNNNNNNNNNNNNNNNNNNNNNNNNNNNNNNNNNNNNNNNNNNNNNNNNNNNNNNNNNNNNNNNNNNNNNNNNNNNNNNNNNNNNNNNNNNNNNNNNNNNNNNNNNNNNNNNNNNNNNNNNNNNNNNNNNNNNNNNNNNNNNNNNNUCGGGGAUUCACUUCAGAUAAAUGAGUGGAAAUUGCACUUGAUCUUUAAUUUAACUUAUAUGAAAAUCAACUAAGGAGUGAUCUCAUAUGGAAGAUAAAACAUUGAUCACAAAUAUAUUAAAAGAUAGAUCUUGAUAAUUGUUUGAGAGAAUAUGUCAAAAUAAGUUGUUGGAAUGUAGAGAUUAUCUAAGCAUUUAUUGUGCCAAAAUUGUCAACAAUAAAUCAAAGUCUUUAAUAAACCAAAACCAUUUGUAGAACAUAUACUUCAACCGUGUAAGAAGAUGAACAUUGAAGAACAAAAUGAAAGAUCAAAGACAAUACUAAACAUUCAUCAAAGUUUCACCCUUAGCUCUAGCUAAAUGUUUAGAAAUACAUAGUGAAAUGUUACAAAGAAAAUGAAGAAAACUAGAAUAUAAUGGAGAGGAUUUGAUUCUUCAAAAUCGUGGCCAAGGUCCCCUUUUAUAGGCAAAGGAACAUCCAUAAUUCAAGUAGGCAAUACAACUUGUUUCUGUCCAGCUUCAAGACAGCUGGAACAUGCAACUUGAUGCCAAUUUUCAGAUAUAUUGUGCAGCGAAUUUGGACUUAUGAUCAACAGAUAAAUUAUUUCCACCUGAGUUAGCUUUCCAUUGGUUUAAAUAUCAGGUUCAUUGGAUCUAUAUAACUCCAGAUAUGACAAAAACAAUAAGUGCUGCUUCACAGGUAAAGCUGUAUCCGGCAGGUAACAAGCUGGACUUUACACGGUAAUUUUGGCUACUUUGUGAUACGAAUUUGACUUCUUCCAAAAAAUGAAAGUUGUAUAAAAGUGCCUUGUCUUUCCAACCCAACUUGAAUCACCUCGAUCUAAUGUCUGAAGCUCAAGUUAUGAUUAUUUUACCAACAGCUGCUUCUUGCUUGAGGCAGUCACUAUUUUUGACUUUUCAACAUUAUUUUCCUCCACUUGUAAUAAAUUGGAAAUACAUGUGAAAUACAUCAAAUAGAUACUCUUUCAAAUGUAUAAUACUCAUGCCACCAUGUAUGUAAAUACGUAUUUCAAUUAAUUGCAUUUUAAACCAUGUAUUUAUGAAAAUUGAAUUUACGGCAAGAGAAUUGAAAUUAGAGACUAACAUUAGUGUUUUCAAACAAAGUGAAUGUAAAAUGUCUUGUAAAUGAUAUAUCUUUGAAGCACUUUUAGACACUAAU
rnacentral:lncRNA from 1 species